AGCCUGACUGCCGACACCAUUGUUACAUCAUAGAUGUUUCCAUGGUAACUCCCAGCUCACUGCAUCAACUGCCGUGUUCAAGGGUUUGAAGCUCACUAGUUAUUUGGACUAGAUAACUGCCGACAUGCCGUCCAGGUUUUGCCAGUUUUUUAGCUGCUUUUGCUGCUGUUUUCGCCCUAUGAAAAAAUCUAAACCUGUAAAGGUUAGAGCGCAGGAUGUUAAGGCGCAGGAGGUUCCAGCGCUAGAAGUGAAAGAGCCGGAGCCCAAACCAAUACCAGUUAUGAAACUGAUGGAUCCCUUUAUUAAAGUGGAAGAUGUCAGCCGCCACUACAGACCAUUGUUUGGGCUUCGCCUUAUAUUUGAGUGUCCCUAUGGCCCUAGUCACCCGAUGGACACCAAGGAAAG